ACAAAGGGAAGCGACCCCGCGAGGGCAAGCGGAACUCAUAAAAUACGUCGUAGUCCGGAUUGGAGUCUGCAACUCGACUCCAUGAAGUCGGAAUCGCUCGUAAUCGUAGAUCAGAAUGCUACGGUGAAUACGUUCCCGGGCCUUGUACAUACCGCCCGUCACACCAUGGGAGUGGGUUGCAAAAGAAGUAGGUAGCUUAACCUCCGGGAGGGCGCUUACCACUUUGUGAUUCAU
rnacentral:rRNA from 1 species